AGGGUUCUGAAUCUGUAAUGUGGAUUUUCAGCAAUCAUUGGACAGCUGGGAAAAUUGUAAAAGAUUUGAGGGUUGGAGUGAAGGUUAAGGUUGUCUCAGCAUUUAAGAGAAGGUAAAGAGAGAGAAGUAAACCACUCAAUGUAAGUGAGCUUUCUGGAGGGUUUAUAUGGGGAGGAAGAGGGGUAGGGCUGAACAUUGUUUCCUCAUGUGUGUGCAGGGCUAGAAGGGAGGAAUUUGGCAGAAGUCCCUCUGGAAGAUAUUGUAGUAUCUGGAGGCGUUCAUCAAACACAUCCUUCUCCCCACUGCUUCCUUUUAGGAGGGAAUUACGGACUGUGAAUCUCAAUUUGAGAGCAAUACAAUGGGUAUUUAUUCUUUUGGAUAAGGAAAGUUGCUAUUAGCCCCCUGACAUGAAAAUACUUCUGGUGAUACAAGGCUUGUGUCCUUGCUUCUGCGCUUCUGUUUGAUCAGAUGGAAGAGUGCUACCAGAGGUACACAUGUGCAGGGAAGGGCAGCUAACAGCACACAGAUUGCCUGUACCCAAGGUGGAUAAACUUUCUCCUGUUUCAUGGGGAAGCCUUCCUAUGGAGACAAAAAAGCAAGAGAAAGAAAUAAUCGGUAUGGAAAGUCUGUGAGACAUUUCACUUCAACACUUCUCAGCAUUACACACACCUAUAACAAAUAUGGAGCACAUAGUAUGUGGGACACCUCAAGAAUAGACACAUUUUAGUAUGUGUAACCUCUUUGCAUACUGGAGCCUUCUCAUUCUGAGCACUACAUCACUUCAGGCUGCAUUCCAUAGACAUACACAACUCCAAUUACUUCAAAGAAAGCAAUGACUAGAAGAGGCACUGAGCCUGCAUAUCUGUCAAAAAUGUCAAUCCAGUAACUCCCUGAACCCAGUGUAAAACACAGAGCAAUGAGGAAGCUAAUUAGACAUAUUAUACCUGAAGAAAAAAGAUAUCUUUGUUACUGGAGUAUUGAACUUGGAUUACCUGUUGGAAGCAGUUAUGGUACCUGAUCAAGAAAUUCUUGAAGGUCACAGUUCUUCAGUUUGAGUCCAGCAAUUUUUUCUGGAUGUGAUGAAUUUAGGAAACUAAUCCAGGAGGUAUAGUUUUGUCUCAUGAUGCUCUCUUCCGGAAGAUCAAAUUCAUUAAUGAUACUCAUAAUGUUCCUGCCAGAGAAGCCAACAUAGCAUUAGUUUAAAUGUUUGCAGAUGAUGUGACUGGAAAUGCUAUGCCGUGUAUCCAGAUGUUACUCAAAAGUUGUGCUUACUUCCUGUGCUGCUUUUUACAAUAUAAAGGAAAAUAAAGGACAGUUUUCUUAUAAAACAGGAAAAAAUAGACUAUUUAAAGUCUUCUCUUUCAGAUACAAACUCUGAGUACUUUAUGCAGAUGCAGUCUCUAAAACAUUUUUAUUUUAUCAGGUUCUCCAGAUCAUUUCUGCCACUCAUGUUUAAUAACGUAGUGAAUCUGGUGGAAUAGAAAAAUGUGUUGGUUUCUUACUACUUCUAGUGCUAGUCUGAGAUUGAGAUGUGAACUUUGAUGCACUACUUGAAAUGGGUAUAUUUAUGUGGUUAUGGCUAUAUAUUUAUAUGGUUAUAAUUCGUCUCGCUUCUUAUGAAUGCUACCCUUAACCGUUCUUGCCUCAGUGCCAUAAUACUUUCUGUUUUUACAUUAGACCUCUCCAUACAUACUUGUCAUCCAUAGAUGCUUUUCCUUUUUAUUGAAAAUAAAUUCUCUAAAUGCAUGUUUUUCAAAUAACACAUUAUCUAUUUAAGCAUUGAAACCACAGCAUAACAUUGGGAACACAACUUUCUCACCUGUCCAAGCAGUCCCAGUAGGCUGUGGUUGCUUUAAACCCCAAAACAGAAAAGACUGGAAUGGAAGCGUAGAGGGAUGUCAUGCUGUUCACAAUUGCUACUGUCACAGCAUCCUUUUCACAGUCGUUUCUAGGGAUAGCAUUCAAACAAGUGAAACAACUUUAAAAGGGCAGUAUUUUAUCUGUGAUUCAGUUAUUUCUGCAAGCAUUUUAAUUUUUUAGAUUCCCCCCCCCUUUCUGUUAGAAGAUCUAUUUGGCCUUUUAGAAAGACAACAUCUUUUAAGUUCCUUUAGAAAAAAUAAGAUAAUUCAUAAAUGUUCUAAAGAAAGAGUUUUGAAAAUUAAAAAAAAAAAAAGCACAGAAUGCAGCAAGAAUUUAGCCAGUUAAUAAAGGCUGUAGUUCUACUUACUUUGGCAGAUUGUAGCUUGAGAAUGCAAUAAGCCCUCCAAAAGCCAAAGAGAGAGAGAAGAAAAUCUGGGUAGCUGCAUCAAGCCAUACACGGGGAUUUUUCAAAGUGUUCAGCUGAAAUAAUUGGAAGAAAUGAAUGUAUUAGGCUUAAAUUAAAAUUGCUUUUUCUCUUCCAGUUCUCAUAGCUCAUCUCUUAUUUCAGUUCUGAAAUUCUGAGGAAAUAUAAGGAAAAAGAAGAAAACUGACAGAGUGAAAUUUGAAUUUUGAUUCUUGCAGGACAACUUGUGUGUCUUCUGUGUCUAUCUGAUCCUGGUACAUGACUGAGAACAUUUGCAGGAGUGAGAGAUUUUCAAGAACAGUGAGGUGUCACAGUUACCAGAAGGUGGACGUGGCAGCUGUCAGAAACUACAAUUUGUGCUGCACUGCAAAGUAGGAAAAAAGUUGGAAAAUAUUGCCUCCGCAUCAGGCAUAGGUGUGUAGGAAGUGUGUGCUGGAUGGGAGCUCAUUUGCAAUUCCUUGAGCUGGGACCCAAAGAGACGUACCAACGCCUCCAAGAUAAGGCGAGACAGUGUUCCAGGCACCAAUGCUGCCUUUCCUCAGGCACUGUCCUAGGGCCAAUUCAAGAUGCAACAGUGGGAUUCCUUCGAAGAACAGAGCAAUGAAGUAUGGGAUCAGGAAAGCCCCUGAAAAGACAAUUAAGUGCAAUUAAGUCACAUGAUUAUCUGCAUCUCUCUAAAAUUAUCAUUUGGUAAUUAAUCUGCUUUAUGAACCUAACAGUCUGUGUAGGAUGCGUGAGGGAUCAUUUCUAGGGACACUUGCCAAAUGUGUUACUGGUAAUUUUGUUGGUGAAGAUGGAGGAAGAAGGACUGGGAUGCUUCGUGUUGCAGGACACUUCCCCUCAGGCAUUUCUACAGCCCAUUAUAAGUAUUUCACUCACGAUUUCAUCCCUUUCCCUUUCUUUUAAGCAUCUUUUGUCCCCAUUCUCAUAAAGAACAAGGAUUUACCUGUCCCCUAUACCAUCUGUUUUCCCUUCAGUGCUUUGGCUCAUUCCCCUUCUUAAAGCUCUCAGGCAUGUGCUCCUCCGUCUUCCACUGCUAAAGCAUGAUUUUGUGCUGGAUACCCCCAAGAGACCAGGUUGCUUUAUCACAUGAGGUUCUGCUCAGAGCACAGAGCCUCUGGCUAACGAAAAACUGAAAGCAAGGCUGAAGUUUUUCUGUGAGACAUGGGGGUAACGAAACCCAAUUUCUUCCCAGUUUGUAUCCUUGACAUCUUUCCUGGUUUUC